ACUUGGGAGACGAAGGUUACAGUGAGCCUAGAUUGCUGUGCUCUAGCCAGGGUGGACAGAGCAAGAUUUUGUCUGUCUGAAAAAAAAUUUUUUGAUCAAAAUAAAAAAUAAAAUAACAGGGUUUAGUUAGGGAAUAGAGCAUACCAGUUAAUUUAUUCAUAGAUUAAAUCCAUGACUUCACUGGCAUUGUGCUCUAGGCAAAUUAACUAGUCUCAGAAGUUGUAUUUUGCCUCUGUGUUUGUCUCAUUUUCUUAGUCAAGAAUUAAGAGUACUGACAUCAUAUAUUAAGCUUUUUUGUAUCCCCUGGGGUAACUAAUUAGCAUGGUGGCAUAUACAUAGCAGGUAUUUAGAAAGAAAACACUUUGAUUUAUUGAUGUUAAUUAUGUUUCAAUACAAGAGCAGUUCAGCUACUUUGCAUGGAUUUCUUUGGGAAGGAUUUACUAUGAUUUCUAUUUAUAUAUUCUUGUAUGUUGUUUUUGUGUUUGAGUUCAUACUUAGCACCACCCGUCUUCUUCCUAAAGCUACCUUUUCGUUGAAUGUGAUUAUUGCAUUAAUGGUAUAUUAAUUGUUUUGAAGAAUUAGUAUUUCUUUCCAAUUCAAGCCUAUGAUGCGACUCAGGCUGGUGAUACAAUGAUGAUAUUAAGACAAUGUUCAUCUUCUUCAACAGGGAAAGUAAAACUGUUCAACUUGCUUUUGAAUACCCAUUAUAACUGUUAGUGAGUAAUUUAUUUAGGAAGGAAAUAGUCUCUUUAUAUAUUGCAAAUUUGGCCAUAUUAAACAAAAUCUUAGAAAAGUCGGUAUUUAUCAGAAUUUAAUACUAGGAAAUUGUUUCUGAAAAGGACUUGAACAUAUCCAAAUCAGAGAUAAAUACUAUCACAAAUAGCUCUAAUUUUUUUUACCUUCAAACAAGCCACAUUCAGGUAUCAGCUGCUGGUUCUGUGGUAAGCAGGUAAAGUAGUUGUUCUGUGUACCAUAGGUGUUGGAGACCCCUCCCUGGUGGACAUUGAAGCAGUGGAAACUCAUAAUGAUUGCAGUCUCUUAAGGAGCUUACUUAAUCUGGCUGCGGAGAGCAGAAUUUAUUACAGGAGUCAGACCAGACAGGAGACUGUAAUGGACUAAAUGUAUGGGUGUCCACCCUCUCCUGGCAUUCAUAUAUUGAAACCAUAAUCCCCAAUGUGACUAUAUUUGGAAACAGGGCCUGUGAGAUGAUAUAGGUUAAAUGGGGUCAUAAGCAUUGGGCCCUAAUUGGAUAGGCCUUUUUCCAUUAUAAGAAGAGAAAGAGACAUCAGAGCUCUCUUUCUCCACAAUGUGAAGACACAGUGGAGAAGUGUGUAAUGCAUACUGUGUAUAAGUCACCAUGCUAGAGAAAGUGGCUGUCUGCAAGCCAGGAAGAUCCUCACUAGGAACCGAAUCAGCCAGCACCUUGAUCUUGGACUUCCCAGCUUCCAGAGCUGUGAGAAAUAAAUUUCUCUUGUUUAAGAUACCCAGCUGUAUGUUUUUGUGGCAGCCAGGGCAGAUUGGGACUGAGACAGAGAACACUGUCAUAAUCUAAGCUCGAGGUGGUAAGGAGAGUGGCAUCAGGAAAGACACCAAUGAGAUGGGCAUGGUGGGAAAGGAAAGAAAGUGGUAUAGGAGUUCAUGGGACCUAGUGGCUGACAGCAUGUGGGGCAAAGGAUAACAUAUAUUAUCUGUAUUUCCCAAAGUGGGGAAAAGUUUUUUAAGUGUAAUUUUGUUGAGGGUUCAGCCUUCCAGGCCCCCAGGUUUGGUGAUUUGCUAGAGGGAUUAACAGGACUCAGCAUAUAGUCCUCAUUGCUGCAUUUAUUACAGUGAAAAGAUACGAAGCAAAAUCAGUAAAGGGAAAAGGCACAUGGGCAAAGUCUGGAGGAAACCAGGCACACACUUCCAAAUCUUCUCCCAGUUAAGUUGCACAGGAUGAACUUAAUUACUCCAGUAUCAAGUUGUGAAAGUAUGGUCAAGUGUUAUGCGCCAAAGAAGCUUGCCUGAGCCUCAGAGUUCAGGGUUUUUUCCAGGGGCCCAUCACAUAGACAACCUUUGCCUAGAAUGUACCAAAAUUUCAGACUCUCAGAAGGAGUUUAACAUGAAUCACAUUGUUUGCACAAUGGUUUAGGUACAGUGAACCACACUUAUCAGGGAAUGAUGGCAGCUCUUCUGAAAUUCAAGUUCCCAGAUGCCAACAAAGGGCCAACCUUUCAAGCAUUUCAUUCUAAGCAUAGCAGUCUCAGACCUGCAAUGUUAACUGUUUUUUGCACAGUAAUAUUUUAAACUAGAAAGGGAACAUUGCAUAUAUGUCACUCUGUUUUUCUUAAUGAAGUUUAUGCAUAAUAGAAAAAAAUUUUAAGCCUAAUUAUUGUCUUCAGUUGGCCACACGAAAGGAUAUUUUUGAGAAGCGUUAGGAAGAAAAAAACAACUCUGAAUACAAUGAAAUGUUGCCAUGCCUUUAAAGUCAACCAUGGAACAGUAUUUUAGGUUAUAUUCUCCUACAGAUUGAGUUAUUUAUACACUAUCUUUAGUAAUAAAUACCUAGAGAGGUCAAAGAGGUAAGAUGUCUGUGCUGAAAGCACCAUCUCUUGAAGACAUAGGAUCUCUGUAAACCAUGCUGGUGUGCAGAAUUCCUCAUAUGUGAGGUGCACAAUCCCAAAGCUUUCCCACUUGUACUUCAGGUGCAAAGAGAUUUUUAAAGCAGCAUCUUAUUUUCUUGAUUUUCAUAUAGCAUCUACUGCCCAGAGCACUGGGCGAGUCUCAGAAGUGAGCAGUAGAAAUAAUGUAGGUUCAAGAACUUCCAGAAAACGGGAUGCUCUGACGGUGUUUUCCUUUCCAGUAUGGCCCUUUCUUUCCUUACAAUGUUACUUCAGAGGUUUCUCUUGCUAGUUAAUAGAAAGAUAGUUUUGGAGCACACCAAAAGUUCUGAGGUAUGGUUUGAGGUAAACAUAAUUUGGCACAUAUAAUUACAUUAUAUUAAACUUUAAAAGUUUUCAAACUUUCUUUUAAUGCCAACAAAAUCUCCUUUAGAAUCCACAUAUAUAAAACAUGAAACAGCUGAGCUGCUGAGUAGGUUGAGCUGAAGCAGGCUGAGGAGUCCUGCAGUCAUCCACCCCUAAAGCUCCUCUAGAGAAAGUUAGAAGUUCUUGGAGAUUGCGCUCCGCUCUCUGUUGUAUUAGAGACGAGAAAAUGAAUGAUCAGGAAAUUAAUCUAUAUCCAUUAGUUCUUUCCAGUCCUUACAAACCCUUAUCUAGACCUUCUUUGACUAACUCCAUUUUCUCCUGUAGCUGUUCCUGUAACAUUUUAUAUAAACAUAGUGCUUAUCAUUUUGUUUUAUACAUAAAUGUUUGUGAUGUUUCCCCCAGAGUCCCUAACCUCAGUCUAUUUUUUAAAAUUAAUUUUAGAUCCUCAGUGCUUAAUGUAAUCCUAGUAUAUAGUAGGUGGUUAAUAAAUGCUGCAUUAAAAUGAAUAAAUUUAGUCAAUACUUUCCUUGGAAAUCAUUUAUUCAAUUUGUAAUAUCAUUUUGCAUUUUUGAUGUUAUAAUUUCUAAUGGUUCCCUUGUUAAUUUCUGAGAUCAUUUAUUUCUUCAACUACAUUGUCAGCUCUUUUAAAAUCUUUAAUGACUACUUACCAACAUGAAACCCAGAAUAAUAGAAGCACUUUGGUAAACCAAAGAUAAUUCCAUGGAAAAUGUCAUGAUAACUAUAGCUUUACUUCCUUCCUAGUACCUCUCAAAAUAUUCCUGACAUGGGCAAGUAAGAGAGUGCUCUGCGCUCUUUUUUGAGGCCAGUAUGUAAAGAAGCAGUGUGUAACUGAAAUAAAAUGAAUUUGUAUCCAGGAUUUACCACGUAUUACCUGUUGACCAUGGUCAUGAUAUUGAACUUUUCUAAUUCUUAAUUCUGUCAUCUGUAAAGCAGAGAAAGUAAUAUCUGCCUUGUGAUAAGUAAAUGAAAUAACAUGUUAUGUGUUUUAAAUGUAUGUUUGUAUUAAACUUAAUGUAUGUUACAAUAAAUAUUUAAGUAAUAUUAAUAGUAUCACUUACCAAUAAAUAUUUAAAUGAUAGCUGUUGUCAUAUACAUGCAGGUGUGAUGAACCUGCUAGUGGUAUUUAAAUUUUAACAUGAGUCAAGAUCACCUUGGGAGCCUGUUCAAUUGCACUUUUAGGAUUAGUAAGUCUGAGUUAGGACCUGCAAUUCUUCAUUUCUGAAAAACUCCUAGGUGCUGCUGAUGCUUUAGUCUACAGACCAUACUUGGAGUAGCAGGCAUUGGAGUAUACAAGAUUCCCAGUUUACGUUUUUUUUCUUUUAAUAUAUGUUGAAUGAUUGGUUGGACUGUCUUUGGCAGUUAUUUUAUAUCUUCUCAGAUAUUGUGACUGUUUUUAAGGUAGUUAAUAAUAAUAUUUUGGACUCAUCCAGUGUUUUGUUUUGAAAACUUUUUUUUUGUUAGAAUACCAGGGACACAAUAUAUAUAUAUAUAUAUAUAUAUAUAUAUAUAUAUAUUUUAAUAUUUUGUGGUGCUGGAUAUCUAAAUAUUAGGGGUGAACAAUUAAGGUAAACAUGAUGAUCUUGUCCACUUUUGUAGCUAAAUAGAUUUAUUGAAUUUGAAAGGAUGCCAAGAAUGGAUUUAUGGCAUAUUAAGGCAGAUAAAACCAGUAAUGGUGGCUCACACAUAUAAACCCAGCUCUUUGGAAGGCUGAGGUGGGAAGAUCGCUUGAGCCCAGGAGUUCAAGGCUGCAGUGAAUUAUGAUUGUGCUGCCACAUUCCAGUGACAGAUUGAGAUUCCAUGUCUUUAAAAAAAAAAUAGGACAGAUCAGAUCUUUGGCCAUUUGCUUCUGCUGUAUAAUUAUCUACAGGCCAAUAAUUAUAAGUAUAAACCUAAAUCCCCAAUGUUAGAUGAACAUUAUAACUUAUUAGAACAUUAUAUAUUAUAUGUAUAAUUAGCAUUAUAACUUACUAUUUAGAAAGAUUGUAAAUCUUUCUUUUCUUUUUUUUUUUUUAAGAUGGGGUUUCACCAUGUUGGUCAGGCUGGUCUUGAAGAUUGUAAAUCUUUCUAAGCUGAAGUUGAAAGAACACUGGGAGUCAGGAGAUAUGAAUUCUGUGUUUGCCUACAACAAGGGUUAGCAGGGUGACCUUGGAAAAGUGAGAGUUGAUUCACCUUUUCAUGCAUUCAUAAUACUUUAUAAAAAUAACUUUUCAACAAAGUUCUCAGUCUUCUAUGUAAGAAAACAUCUUACCUAUAACAAUUUUCUAACCUUUAGCAUUCUGAGUUUAAAUGUAAAACUAUUAAAUGCUCUGAAAAAUUAAUGUUGCCUAUACUAUUUUUAUUUUAAUUGUAUUAAUUUUGUUAAGAUUUUAAUAGCAAAUUUUGGAGCAAUUUGCUGGCCAGUUGAAUAUCUAAGAUAUUUCAUUAAAUUUGAAUACAUUUUUAUAAAAAUAUAAAGUAAAACAAUUAUAAAAAAUUUUAAAUUAUAAUUUCAGGUUUUUUUCCAAUAAGUGGAAAAUUAUCUAUUAAAGUAAAAGACAAAACACAAGAAGUUUAUGAAUUCUUUAAUAUUAUACUCUUCAGCCACUAUGUGUAACUCUUUCAAAUACCAUGUUAAUUUGUGAGUACCUCCACAACCACAAAUUAAAACAUGAAGUAAGAAAAUGGAUAUUUGGUGCUGUUGGGAAAUGAUACUUGGUUAAGGAGUGCUUUACUGCAAUGAUGAUAUUUGAGAUGAAGGAUUUGACAAGUUAGUUAAUUAGUCUUUCCUCUUACCUAAGUGAUUUCAUCACUCAAAUCCUCCAGGAGUUCCAAAGCAGCAUCUAUCUCUGUCUUCAGCAGCAGCACAAACAAACCUUGAGAGCAUUCUGACACAUGAUGCCCUUUUAUUUUGAGAACGUAGGGCAAGAGUUGUGCAGAAGCAUUUUCUUGGGGCUUGAAGAUGUUAUUCGUGAGAGUAGAUAUUCAUGGUUACAGAUCACAGUGUCAGUCUGAGGGCCAGAUCCCAGUGGCAGAAGACGUUCAUUUGUUCUUCAGUAAAUUUAAUUUGGGUUAUUUGUGAUAGCCAGGGUCCUCUGGAUCACAGGGUUUGUGGCAGUGUCCCCUCUUUCUUAGAUAUAAGGGUGGUACUGGUUGUUUACCAUAGUCUUGGGAGCAGAACUGGGUGUGCUGAGAUAUGAAAGUUAUGAAUGUAAUCUCAGCCAGAUUAUUGUAAUUAAAUAUUAUUUGGGUACCAGAUAAAAUGCUGGAAGUUAAUAAUGGGUAGGCUGCUAUCACAAGCCUCCUUAGCUAAUCUAUAUGUUUAAAUGGCAGCCGGAUGAUUAAAGUAUGUGAACAAACAGCAUUGCAAGCUAAAAUUAUGCUUUUCAUAAGCAAAUAACCUCCACUGUGCUGCUUAGCAUCUUGGAGUUGUUCUCUUUUUGGUCGUGGCUACUGUUAAUGAUGUUCAUAUAUAGUAAUCAUCAUUGUUUAACGUUUAAGACUUCUGAGAAAUGAAGUAAGCAUUGAAUUUUUAUCUUAUUUCUAGUGUAGAAAGUAGGAAAGGAAGUAAAUUUUCAGUUUAAUGUUGAUUCAAAGUCAACAAAUUAUGUGAUGGCUAUUUCACAUAAUUUUCUGGUAUUUGCUUUCUAUAGCAUUGUUUUCAAACCCAAUUUUUAAGUUUUUCAGAUGGAGUUAAGGUACUGGACAACUGGACAUCUUUUUCCUGACAGCAUUGUCAUAAGCUGUGUGACAACUUUUAUAUUUAAAACUAAUGUAAUCAGGCAAUAUUGUAAUGUACAAUAGGAACUCUUAUAUAAUGUGUAAAAAUAGUAAAAUUAUAUUUAUUUCAGAGGAUAUUGACAUUUAUUUUGUACUUGACUUUAUAUAAAAUUAGUUCUUACUGUAUCCACAUUAGUAAGAUUUCCAGUAAGUGCUUUGAGAUCAGUUAAUGCUUAAAAGAGUGUUUAGAGAUCAGUCCUUUAGAGAUUUUUUUCAAGUAUUUAUGUAAAACCUGCAUAGUAUAUUUUAUAAAUAGUCUGCUAAUAUAAAUAAGAUUAUCAUAGCUAAGUGGUAAUAAUGUCAUAAACUAGUAAUAAGUUUUAUAAUUACUUUAAUAUGAAUCUGUGGUUAAAAGUAUUUAUGAGGCAGCAUAUUUUGUCAAACAGUAUAAUAUUUAUCUAGGAUAUGCAUAUUACCUUCUGUUUUCCCUGUCUAGUUUUCAAGUAUAUCUUUUUGAACUUUAGUCCCUCUGUGAUUGAUUUGUACCCUACCUUAAAUUCAAGGGGACUGUCUCUUAACUUUUUUUCCUUUUUUUUUUUUUUUUUUGUUUUGGUUAUCUGUUUUGCGCGCGUGUGUGUGUGUAUGUGUGGCUGAGAUAGGGUCUUACUCUGUUGCCCAGGAUGGAGUGCAGUGGAGCAAUCAUAGCUCACUGUAACGUUGAACUCCUGUGCUAAAGCAAUCUUCUUGUUUUAGUCUCCUGAGUAGCUAGGACUAUAGGUACACACUACUAUGCCUGGCUAAUUUUUUAAUUUUUUUUUUUUAAGAGAUGGGGUCUCACUAUGUUGCCCAGGCUAAUCUUGAACUCCUGGCCUCAACUGAUCCUCUGGCUUGGCUUCCCAGAGUGCUGGGAUUAUUUAAAAACCAAGGCACCACAUCUAGCCUUGGUUUUUAAAUUCUUUUCAGGAAGUCUUUUUAUUAAAAACGAAACUAUAUUCCAACCUCAAAUGCAUUCAUACAUGGGGAAAAUGUAACUUUUCAAAUGUGUUGAAUUUAUAAAUGAAUAUAUUUAUAUCUUAAGUGGGCCUUAAAUUAGAGACCAAUACAACUCACAAACCAUUGCUACCUAUGAAACCUCUCUUUUUCAGCUUUUGUUUGUUCUCAGUUGCAUUCUGAAUAACUUCCAUCUUCCAUCAUUAUCAUUAAUAUAAUACUGGCGAGAGUAGAAUGGAAAUGAUAUUACCCUGAGUGUUUUUAACUUUCCAAAAGAUACUCGGAAUCUUCUGCCUGCAUUUCAAUAGGGCCUUGGCUUCGAUUGCUUAUUUUACUAUAAAGUAUAUUUCACAUGUUGGCCACAAUAUCCUUAAAUAUACUUUGCUAUUUAACCUAUGUAAAAUCAUACCCUAGAAACACCUGCAUCCAAGAAUAACUGCUGUAGACCAAUGUGUCUCAGGCUUUAAUGCAAGUACCAAUCACUGUUAAAAUGUACGUUCUGAUUAAGCAGGGUUGACAUAGUCUGAGAUCCUGCAUUUCCAACAAGCUUCCUUGUGAUGCCACGCCUCCUGGUCUAGGUACCAUACCUUAGGGAGAAAGUAUGGGUUACAUCUGUAUGUCUAGUGCUUCAUAAUGCAUUUGCCAAGUGUUACAGGUCUAACUUUUUCUUAGGCAGUGGUUCUCAAACUUUAGCAUGCAUGAGAAUCAUUUGGGAGAAUGUUUGCUCUAAAUUUACAUGCUUGGGCUCCACUCCUCAGAGUCUAUUUUGGUGGGGCUUUGGGACCCAAGAUUUUGCACUUUUGAAAACUCCUCAGAUUUUGAUGCAUAUGGACUAACACCACAAUUUGAGAAACUGAUGCUUUAAAGUUUGGAAUUGCUAUAGAAAUUCAUGAUCCCUUCUGGAAUGACAGCUUGUUAAAGCCAAGCAAGGAUACAGUGAAAAGCCCAUCUGAAAGGAGAUUGCUUUGAAUGCCAGUGUAGUAUUUGGUUAAUGGGGAAGCAGUAGUAAAAUUUUGCAUGCUUUUCUUUUCUAUCCCAUUGCCUCAGGCAAUAUAAUUUACUAGGUGUAUAAUUUAUUGUAAUAUAUCAGUGGUGAAGACCAUAGUUCAUUCACUCCCUAAUUAACCCUAGAGGAGUCUUAAUUGGAUAGUUGGUUAGAAAUAGUAGAUGAGUAGGUUAUAUUAAAUGUUGUUGAGUAUAUGAUCAGUAUUGAUUCCUCUCUUGGAUUCUGACCAGGAUAUUUACUCUCUCUCUGGGAAACAUCUAUAUCUUUAAUAUUACUUGCUAUUAUAUUUAUCAACUGUCACAAGAAUAGCCUGUUCUUAUAAAAUAUAGAGUUGGUUCUCAUGUGUUUUGUUAAAAGGAAUUCAGGUAACUAGUGAGUUGUUUGUCAUUUUCAUUUAAGACAAGUUAAAUUCUGAAAGUAUGUCACUCAAAGUGAAUUUUAAAAAAUUAUGUCUUUUAAUAACUUUAAGAUUGAUUCUUCAUCUAUUCAUGUCUCUGUUUUAAGGAUGUGGGUGGUAUUUACAUAAUUCCUAAUUGAUUCUAUGCAAAUUAUUUUAAACAAAAAGGUUAUGUAGAGGUUAUAGUUAUUAGGUAAUCUUGUCAGAAACAGUGUCUUUUAGAAUACUUGGUUCAGCAAACUGUUUAAUGUCAGCCAAAGUGAUUUAAAAGCUUUAUUUAGGAUUAAUCCAUCAUCUGCUUAAAUUUAUUAUCUCAUUUAUUCACUAAUUUGCAUAUGACUUUGCAAUUCAAAAAUUUUAAGCAAACAGUGGUAUACCAAAAAAUGGAUUACAGGAUAAAUUGAAUGAAAGCAAACUGCAGUGCCGUCAAGGCCCACCCUGGACACAAGCGUGGGAUUAGUGAGCUGUGAUUGCAUCACUCCUUUUCUGCUUCUCGGUCUUUAAGAGCAAGCUUCUUUAUGCUGUCCCUGGAUGGUUUUGUUCCACUGCUACGCUGUGAGGUCUCUCUUGCCCUUGGGGAUUUAAAGUUUUGUGUCAGGUAUAGAUUUGAAGAUCAUCAUGACCAAACGUAGCUAGUGCUACGCGACAAGGAUAUCUGUCACACAAAAUGCUUUAUGGUCACAGAGAGAUUAGUUCUGUCUGAAGGGAAAGGGGAGAAGAUGACAAACAUGCCAUAUGGGCAAUUAACAUAUAAUCCUUCCAUGGGUGAGGAUACUGGACCAAAUGACCUUUUUUGGAGUGCCUUUCUGUUGUGAAUUUUCUAGUUUAUUAAUAACCUAAGAACUGUGCCUCAUAGUCCGUACUAUUCAUACAUCUCAAAACCAAGGUAGUUAGUAUUGGGGACCUCAACAAUUUGCACUGCAUGUUUCUUUGACCUGAUUUUUUACUCUUACCCUUCUUUAUCUGUCCAGUUGCCUUUGUGUACUAACAAAGCUUUAACCUUCUGUCCUCUCAAAUUUUUUUUAAAUUUUGCUUUACUUAACUACAAAUUUAUCAAAAUAGUCAUUUACACUUGAUGCCAGCCCAGUCUGAAACAGCUGCAAUCUAGCUUCUGCCACCAGCACUUGACUGUGAGUGCUCAUUUGAAGAUUAUCAGUGAUACACUAAUUAAAACUCCAGUGACUUCUCUGGCUUUGUGUUCCUUCUUCUCUGCCAUAAUUGAAUCAUUGACCACUUUUUGCUUGAAAUUCUCAGUUAAUACUGCUUUCUGUUGAGUGCUUCUCACGCCACCUCAAUGGUACUUGUUAAAUGUCUUCCUUUUCUACUUUCCUUUAAUUUAGUUGCACAGCCCCCACCUGAAAUAUCACCCUCUAUACUCAUCUCUGCCUAUUAACAGAUCCUACCUGUGCUACUUAAGGCCUGGUUCAUAUGCCAUCUUACCUUUAAAUCUUUGAGCUAAAAUGUUUUCUCAGUUCUGUAGUUUUUCAUCUAAUUUUUACUUGGAGCACUUUUAAGAUGAGUUUUUCCCUGAUAGUAUGAUUGUGUCCACAUUUCUUACCUACUGUAGCAGAUGUUAAGAAAAGGAGGAGAGAGAUCAUCACUAUAGCUUCCCCAAUGCUGUGCAUUAUCAGAAAUCUUUAAAUGUGUUUCUCAAUAUACUGUGGGAGGCAGAAUAAUGACACCCCAAAAAUGCCCAUGUCUUAUUCUUUGAAAACGCUGAAUAUGUUAGGUUACAUGGCAAAAUCGAAUUAAGAUGGAAUUAAGGCUGUUAAUCAGUUGACCUUAAAAUGUGGAGAUUAAUCCGGAUUAUGGUAGUGGGCCUGUUGUAAUCAUAAGCAUCACAAAAUAAGAGAGGGAGGCAGAAGAGAGUAAAGAAUGAUACCUUGUGAGAUCUUAGUUAGCCCUUGCUUUAAAGAUGGAAGAAAAGAACCAUGGGCAAGGAAUGUGGGAAGCCCUUAAAAGCUAGGAAAGGCAAAGAAAAGGCAAGAAAGUAGAUUUCCCCCCAGAGCCUCCAGAAGGAAUGCAGCUGACACCUUGAUUUUGGUCUAAAGAGACCCAUGUCAGACUUAUGACUUACUGAAUUGUUAAAUAUAAAUAUUCUAAAAAUACAGAGACUGUGGGAUAAGUAAACUAGGAAAAUAAAUAAACUCAUUAUUCCAAGACUUGCUUAAUUCCCUUUAGAGGUAAUUUGCUCAUUAUUACACUGUUUUUUGGUUGUUUUUCAAAGGAAUUCUAUAUAAUAUAGUUAUCUCAAUGAAGAAGGAGCCCUGAUAAGAUAUAUUGAUUUAUUUUUCUUUCUUUCUUUCUUCUAUGUGGUGCAACAGUCUUGUUCUGUUGCCCAGAC